UGAGUACGAGACGCUAAGGCGUCGAAGUAGUGUAUGUCAUACUUCCAAGAAAAGCUUGCACUGUCAUUCAUGAAAAAUGCCUGUACCAUAACCGACACAGGUGGGUAGGUAGAGUAUACUAAGGGGCGCGAGAUAACUCUCUCUAAGGAACUCGACAAAAUAACUCCGUAACUUCGGGAGAAGGAGUGCCUUAUUUAUAUAAGGUUGCAAUAACAAGAUCCAAGCAACUGUUUACCAAAAACACAGGUCUCCGCUAAGUCGUAAGACGAUGUAUGGGGGCUGACGCCUGCCCAGUGCCAGAAGGUUAAAGAAGUUGGUUAGCAAUAGCGAAGCUGAUAACUGAAGCCCUGGUGAACGGCGGCCGUAACGAUAACGGUCCUAAGGUAGCGAAAUUCCUUGUCGGGUAAGUUCCGACCCGCACGAAAGGCGUAAUGAUUUGGAUACUGUCUCGGAGAGGGACUCGGUGAAAUAGACUUGUCUGUGAAGAUGCGGACUAUCUGCACCUGGACAGAAAGACCCUAUGAAGCUUUACUGUAACUUGAAAUUGAAAUUGGACUUUAUUCGCGCAGUAUAGGUGGGAGGCGUUGAAAAUAAUCUUGCGGGACUAUUGGAGCCAUCAGUGAGAUACCACUCUUAUAAUGUUAGAUUUCUAACUUUGAAUCAUUAUCUGGUCAAAGAACAGUUUCAGGCGGGCAGUUUGACUGGGGCGGUCGCCUCCCAAACGGUAACGGAGGCGUACAAAGGUUUCCUCUGAACGGGUAGAAAUCGUAUCUAGAGUAUAAAGGCAAAAGGAAGCUUGACUGUGAGACCUACAAGUCGAGCAGGGACGAAAGUCGGUCUUAGUGAUCUGACGGUACUGAGUGGAAAGGCCGUCACUCAACGGAUAAAAGUUACUCUAGGAUAACAGGCUGAUCUCCCCCAAGAGUUCACAUCGACGGGGAGGUUUGGCACCUUGAUGUCGGCUCAUCGCAUCCUGGGGCGGUAGUACGUCCCAAGGGUUGGGCUGUUCGCCCAUGAAAGCGGUACGCGAGCUGGGUUCAGAACGUCGUGAGACAGUUCGGUCCAUAUCCGGUGUAGGCGUUAGAAUAUUGAGAGGAGCCUUCUUUAGUACGAGAGGACCGAGAAGGACAUACCUCUGGUGUACCAGUUAUCGUGCCAACGGUAAACGCUGGGUAGCUAUGUAUGGAGUGGAUAACCGCUGAAAGCAUCUAAGUGGGAAGCCCACCUCAAGAUGAG
rnacentral:rRNA from 1 species